rfam:Micromonospora nigra strain DSM 43818 genome assembly, contig: Ga0070616_13
CUUGAUCGAGCCGAGCAGCAACGGUCGGUCGGCGGGCCGGUCCUGCCCGUAGGUGGCGAGCAGGGCCUGCGCCUC